rnacentral:rRNA from 1 species
GUCUCCGGCCAUGCUACCCUGAACGUGCUCGAUCUUGGCUGACCUCAGAAGCUAAGCAGGGUCGGGCCUGGUUACACCCUGAACGUGCUCGAUCUUGGCUGCCUCAGAAGCUAAGCAGGGUCGGGCCUGGUUAGUCCUUGGAUGGGAGACCACCUAGGAAGACCAGGUGCUGUAGGCA